rnacentral:rRNA from 1 species
AAGGGCACCACAAGAACGCGUGGAGCAUGUGGCUUAAUUUGACUCAACGCGGGGAAUCUUACCGGGUCCGGACACACUGAGGAUUGACAGACGGUUAUUGACUUAUACUCGCUUAAUGGCUUUAAGCUGUUAAGUGUUUAACACCUUUACACAAAGAUGCUAGUCCUUUCAUGAUCGUUUGAUAGGUGGUGCAUGGCCGUUCUUAGUUCGUGGAGUGAUCUGUCUGCCUAAUUGCGUUUCACUAAGGUCCCAUUCUUCAUACGUAUGAAUAGCGUCUUAACUCACUUUUACCGCUACCUAUUUGUAGUAAGCGCUCAUACUAUUGGGACCGGAAUGCAACGAGCGCGACUGCACCACCUAAUUGCCCCUUAUCUACCAUUAAUUACUUUAUUAACCGCCCUGUACGGGCACCGGGGCCUUACCUUUACUGAAACUAGCUGGACCGCUGCUUUCCUUUAAGCCAGAGGAAGGUUGCGGCAAUAACAGGUCUGUGAUGCCCUCAGAUGUUCCGGGCCGCACACGUGCUACAAUGAUCAGCACAAAGAGUAUUACCUAUCUUCUUAUACCUAACCCAAUAUGUUAAACUUAUUGCGUAAGGGUAUUGUCUUAACGACUUAUCCGCUUUAGCGCUUUAAGAUUAUUGGACGGUUAUGCCUGCCUCGAAAGAGUGUACAGGGCAGCAAGAGUAAUGAUUCCCUCGUUUUUACUACUAAUACCGCGCUUGGUAACAUAUUACACUCGAUUAAGUAGGGUCUUUGCUUUUAAUAGCAAUUGCUAUCCUCACCCUUAGCUCUAAGGAUAUUACUAUCUCUAAGGUCUACAGGGAGGUGUAUAUGGCGCACUUACUUAUUCACGGUGGGGACAGACCAUUGUUAACUG